rnacentral:rRNA from 1 species
UCGCUGUGAAGAUGCAGUGUACCCGCGGCAAGACGGAAAGACCCCGUGAACCUUUACUAUAGCUUGACACUGAACAUUGAGCCUUGAUGUGUAGGAUAGGUGGGAGGCUUUGAAGUGUGGACGCCAGUCUGCAUGGAGCCGACCUUGAAAUACCACCCUUUAAUGUUUGAUGUUCUAACGUGGACCCGUGAUCCGGGUUGCGGACAGUGUCUGGUGGGUAGUUUGACUGGGGCGGUCUCCUCCUAAAGAGUAACGGAGGAGCACGAAGGUUGGCUAAUCCUGGUCGGACAUCAGGAGGUUAGUGCAAUGGCAUAAGCCAGCUUGACUGCGAGCGUGACGGCGCGAGCAGGUGCGAAAGCAGGUCAUAGUGAUCCGGUGGUUCUGAAUGGAAGGGCCAUCGCUCAACGGAUAAAAGGUACUCCGGGGAUAACAGGCUGAUACCGCCCAAGAGUUCAUAUCGACGGCGGUGUUUGGCACCUCGAUGUCGGCUCAUCACAUCCUGGGGCUGAAGUAGGUCCCAAGGGUAUGGCUGUUCGCCAUUUAAAGUGGUACGCGAGCUGGGUUUAGAACGUCGUGAGACAGUUCGGUCCCUAUCUGCCGUGGGCGCUGGAGAACUGAGGGGGGCUGCUCCUAGUACGAGAGGACCGGAGUGGACGCAUCACUGGUGUUCGGGUUGUCAUGCCAAUGGCACUGCCCGGUAGCUAAAUGCGGAAGAGAUAAGUGCUGAAAGCAUCUAAGCACGAAACUUGCCCCGAGAUGAGUUCUCCCUGACCCUUUAAGGGUCCUGAAGGAACGUUGAAGACGACGACGUUGAUAGGCCGGGUGUGUAAGCGCAGCGAUGCGUUGAGCUAACCGGUACUAAUGAACCGUGAGGCUUAACCUUACAACGCCGAAGGUGUUU